AUUGAACGCUGGCGGCAGGCCUAACACAUGCAAGUCGAGCGGAUGAAGGGAGCUUGCUCCUGGAUUCAGCGGCGGACGGGUGAGUAAUGCCUAGGAAUCUGCCUGGCAGUGGGGGAUAACGUCCGGAAACGGGCGCUAAUACCGCAUACGUCCUGAGGGAGAAAGUGGGGGAUCUUCGGACCUCACGCUCUCAGAUGAGUCUAGGUCGGAUUAGCUAGUUGGUGGGGUAAAGGCCUACCAAGGCGACGAUCCGUAACUGGUCUGAGAGGAUGAUCAGUCACACUGGAACUGAGACACGGUCCAGACUCCUACGGGAGGCAGCAGUGGGGAAUAUUGGACAAUGGGCGAAAGCCUGAUCCAGCCAUGCCGCGUGUGUGAAGAAGGUCUUCGGAUUGUAAAGCACUUUAAGUUGGGAGGAAGGGCAGUAAGUUAAUACCUUGCUGUUUUGACGUUACCAACAGAAUAAGCACCGGCUAACUUCGUG
rnacentral:rRNA from 1 species